rnacentral:lncRNA from 1 species
AGUAGUCCCACUGCGUGGUUUGAGCUCCAGCCUCGCGCUGGGCCGCUUGAGGGAGCGGAGCGGCGGGCGCUGAGCCGGGAGCCCUCUCGGCUUUGCGGGCCUUCUCCCGAGGGGCUCCUCUGGGGGAGGCGAGAGGGCCGCUCUGAGGCGGGAGCGGAGGGAUCCGAGCAGGCGGAGUUGUAAGGCGGCGGGCGCGUGCGGGACGCGCGGCGGCUGCGCGGGCUGAGGGGACCCGGCUGAGGGGACGCGGCCGCCCCCGGGACCCCGGCCCUGCGCCAGAGCCGCCGCCGGCAGGGGAUCUUCCCUGGCCCAGCUCAGGCUUGCUGUGUAUGGCUGGCCAGGACUGCCCCCAGAACUGAGGAGAGGAGCUGAUCGCCCCGUGCUUCUGGAUUGCUGGAUGCCAGCACUGACUGUGAGCUGUGCUUUUGCUUGUACAGCAUCACGAUGUUACUUUAAGUAUCAGAGCACAGGAAUGGAGAACAUUGUGCACUGAUGUGCUGGGCUUGACUUUGUAACCUUUGUUAGUGUCUGUUCCCAGUGAAGUUAAAUAAAGGGUCACUCAGUAUCCA